GUCCGUUUUCGCCAAACUGGGGACUUCGGUUGUUGACCUGAUUCUCAUGGUUUGGCUUGCAAAGGUCAUGUGGAAUCCGAGGAGGAUUAAAGAAAAGAGUAGCAAAGCUACAAAUAACAGUGGCAUAUCAAAUGCGAGCAAUGUCAGUGCCAAUGACAGCACCAAGCGAGACGACAAACAGAGAGAGGAUGAAAAUAUACUUGCCACAAGGAUCGCUGCCAUGGGCCUAGAACAAAUUUUGGAAGAGUCUGUUCAUAUUGGCUCCUUCCCGUAAAGGGCUAUUGACUCGGGAAAGCAUUUUUUUCAGUAGAUAGAUAAGAGUUGAGGCAG